UACAGAGGGGGCAAGCGUUGUUCGGAAUUACUGGGCGUAAAGGGCGCGUAGGCGGCCUUCUAAGUCGAACGUGAAAUCCCUCGGGCUCAACCCAGGAACUGCGUCCGAUACUGGAAGGCUUGAAUCCGGGAGAGGGAUGCGGAAUUCCAGGUGUAGCGGUGAAAUGCGUAGAUAUCUGGAGGAACACCGGUGGCGAAGGCGGCAUCCUGGACCGGCAUUGACGCUGAGGAGCGAAAGCCAGGGGAGCAAACGGG
rnacentral:rRNA from 1 species